GAUGAACGCUGGCGGCGUGCCUAAUACAUGCAAGUCGAGCGAACAGACGAGGAGCUUGCUCCUCUGACGUUAGCGGCGGACGGGUGAGUAACACGUGGAUAACCUACCUAUAAGACUGGGAUAACUUCGGGAAACCGGAGCCAAUACCGGAUAAUAUAUUGAACCGCAUGGUUCAAUAGUGAAAGACGGUUUUGCUGUCACUUAUAGAUGGAUCCGCGCCGCAUUAGCUAGUUGGUAAGGUAACGGCUUACCAAGGCGACGAUGCGUAGCCGACCUGAGAGGGUGAUCGGCCACACUGGAACUGAGACACGGUCCAGACUCCUACGGGAGGCAGCAGUAGGGAAUCUUCCGCAAUGGGCGAAAGCCUGACGGAGCAACGCCGCGUGAGUGAUGAAGGUCUUCGGAUCGUAAAACUCUGUUAUUAGGAAAGAACAAAUGUGUAAGUAACUAUGCACGUCUUGACGGUACCUAAUCAGAAAGCCACGGCUAACUACGUG
rnacentral:rRNA from 1 species